UGGAAACUACAUGGCCCUCUCCUCCCCAACCUCCCAGCCUCUUGUAAUUGAUGGCGUGUCAUAUCCAUCAGAUCCGCUGGAGGUGAAGAAGGUUGGGAUUCCCUCACGGGCUGGAUGGGGAGGGGUUGGGGUAGGUACCAAACAGCAGGUACAAUCCCAGUCUUGAGGGCUUCUUAUGGUGCAAGGGAUGAGGCCAGAGCAACUCGCGAGGAACCAUUUGAAGUAUAUACUACCACACGCAAACAGAGCAGGUUUAACCCGGUAGCAUCUGGGAAUCCCAUCAGUAGAGGGAGGGAGCAGGAAGUGUCAUCCAGCAGCUGAAGGCUUUGUCAGUUCGCAGCAUUAGAGGAUAUCCUUCGCCGUGAACUGGCCCCACUUCCUCUCCUGCGAAGCCUUCCAAGUUGGGAGGUUCUCUGGGGGCGUGGAGGCGAUCAGAGAGAGCUGUCACCUAGCUGCGCUGGGUUCUGUUUGCUCAAAGCGGAGAAUCGGAGACCCAGCCCCACCUACCUAAGGCACCGUGCCUGAGUUUUAUCACGAUCUGUUUCUUUACUCAUUCAGCACGUAUUCACGGAGCACCUACUAUGCUCCAGGCCCGGCAUUCGGCUUGGAGGACACGGGGAGAGCAGCUCUCACAUGAUCCCUGUCCUAACUUACUAUGCACGAAGUGGACAGCAAUCGACACAAGAACCACAGAGGAAGAGCACAGACUGUUAGAAGAGCCUUUGUUGUUGCUGUUCUACCUGCAUUCCAACCCUAUUGGGGCCCGGAAGGUUAACAGCACUGCAGCAGGUGCAAGUAAGGGGUGGGUGUAGUGAUCUCUCCUUAUCUGCAUCCUCUCUCCCUCAACUCCAUUGCCGGACCCUUGGGGACCGACUAGCUUCCCAUCCACGUUUGGUUGUAUGCCUCACUGUCUGAACUCCCACCCUUCGCUCUGAAACUCAGGAACACGUGGAUUUGACAACCUAGUAUCUCUCAACAUCCAGACUUGCCACCUGAACUCCUGAUAGGUGAACGCAGUAGUCAAAUAGGUUUGGGUGGGGAGGGCGGGUGGAGGCACGAGUGAAGGGCUAUGCCGUCUCACGUAGGAAAAUGGAGGCCUCGGGCUUUACGACUCCUCGAUGACGCACCAGACGAGGGCAGGCACGUCUGCAGACAGGAAUAGAAAACAAAAAUCAUUCAUGGCAUGCAGCUCAAAUUCAGGAUGGCGUGUCUGUUGCUUAGCCCAUUUCUCACGCCCUGGAGACAGACUGGACCUUACCCUGCUCUCCUGUGUCUGACUUUGCCGGCAAAGUUUAACUCUGCAGAACUUCGUCCUUUCGAAGAGGCCACUUUGGGUGAUAGCAGAAAAAGGCUCCAAGCUUUCUGAGGUCUCCUCCAGGUAGGUAUCUCCGGAUGACCCAAACAUGAUCCCGUUGAGUCCUUCCUCUUUCCUCAAAGUUACCCUUUAACCCUGAAAUGUUCUGUGCCUGCCCAGAUGCCGGAGACACCGGGAGCCAGACUCUGUUCUGCCUGACGACCUCAAGAACAGCGUGAACCGCAAGCUCCUCCCAAGCCUGGGCCUGUCGGCGUGGGCCAGAGACAACGCGAAACCCAGCACUGUGCACAGGAUACGGACAAAAAACAAAACAAAGCAAAACAACCCCUCCCCCAAAGGAGCCCUCUAUUUCUGGUCUGAGGAAUGGGUAAGAGAGCCCUACAGGUCCUGGUCCAAGACAGAGUAAGAAAACCUCUGUUUAUAUUUGUCUUUCCCAUUCUUUCCUGCCCUAGCCCCCAGCUGUGACGGUAGUGGUGAAAGGCAGUGGCAGCCAGACAGGUAACUAGAACUCGGAGAGAGGAGAACCCUUCUCUCUGACCACAGGAAUCCUAAGAGCAUGGGGGAAAUCCCUGAUGCUUUUUCUCCCUUUCUCUCUGUCUGUCUCUGUCCCUCUAAUUCUCAUUGUGUGUGUGUGUGUGUGUGUGUGUGUGUGUGUGUGUGUGUGUGUUUUGGCAAAGCAGAGUAGGGAAACUAAAAUCCUGGCUUUGCAGCCAGAGGACCAAGGUGAGAGGGGAAGGGGGCAGGAUCUGCUAGAAAUUGGAGAGUGUUGGGGAGUUCACAGAGAGGGAAGAGCUCAAAGUGAUUCCCUAAAAUGGUGUAUGAAUGCCUGAGCUCACCCAAAAAUGGACCCUACACAGCAUCCCAAAGGGUUGAGAACUGAGCUCCAGGAUCCCAGAUUGGUCCCAAGUCCCAGACUAGCACACACACACCGAGCAGAUUGGAAUAGCACUGCAAAGCCUUAAAAAUGGAACUGACACUGGUCAGUACCUAGAGCCCAGAGAUGAUAGAGAGCAACUCGCAGCCUGAACCUAACCAGGCAUUUGCCUGAACAAACAAACAAAUCAACAUUUUUAUAGGAUUUAAACAAGACCCAUAAUUUCAUAACAAUAUUAACAAUGUCCAGAUACAGUGCCAAAUUACAUGAUAUUUGGAGACCCAGGAAAAUCUCCACCUCUCUCAAGGAAAAAGACAAAAGGACCAUCAAGGGGCAACUCUGAGAUGACCCAAGGGUUCAACUCGAGACCUUAAAGCAACUAUCCUAAUCAUGCUCCAAGAAAUAUGGGCAAAUCUUGAAACGAAUAGAAAGAUAGUCUCAUCAUAGAAACAGACGAUACAAAAAGAAUGGAAUUGAAGUUUGGGGAAUAAAAACUCUGAUAACCAAAAUGAAACCAUUCAUGGAAUGGACUCCAUUUUUUUUCCUCUUAAGUUCUUUAAAAUAUGUGCGAUAGUUGAAAGCAAAAGUCAUAGGAUUGUCUGGUGGGGUUUGAAUUUAUGUGUAUAGAACACACAUGACGAUGUGAUGGAAAAACAAGAGGGUAAAGGCGCCUACACGGUCGUAAGGUUUCUGCAUCCCACUGGAAGGGACAAAAUAUUAAUUCUGAGUAGACCGGAAAGUUAACUGUGAGUGUCGUAACUCCUAGAGCAGACUUCUAAACAAAGGGUACAAAGAGG